CAGUAAGAAAGAAUGGCGGCUAAGAGGCUUCUUGAUGAGUCCCGUCGCGAACCCAACGAGCCAGAUCCCAAAAAGAUUAGAACUACACCUUCUUUAGCAGCUGUAAUUGGAGAAGUUGUGAUGCUGAAAUCGUUCCAGAAAUUUAUUUCAACCUUGGAGCCAUUGGUUCGAAGAGUGGUGAAUGAAGAGGUGGAACGUGUGCUUCGACGCACU